CCUACGGGAGGCAGCAGUGGGGAAUAUUGGACAAUGGGCGAAAGCCUGAUCCAGCAAUGCCGCGUGAGUGAUGAAGGCCUUCGGGUCGUAAAGCUCUUUUACCAGGGAUGAUAAUGACAGUACCUGGAGAAUAAGCUCCGGCUAACUCCGUGCCAGCAGCCGCGGUAAUACGGAGGGAGCUAGCGUUGUUCGGAAUUACUGGGCGUAAAGAGUACGUAGGCGGUUAUUCAAGUCAGAGGUGAAAGCCCGGGGCUCAACCCCGGAACUGCCUUUGAAACUAGAUAGCUAGAGUCUUGGAGAGGUUAGUGGAAUUCCGAGUGUAGAGGUGAAAUUCGUAGAUAUUCGGAAGAACACCAGUGGCGAAGGCGACUAACUGGACAAGUACUGACGCUGAGGUACGAAAGCGUGGGGAGCAAACAGGAUUAGAUACCCUGGUAGUCCACGCCGUAAACGAUGAUAACUAGUUGUUCGGUCACUUGGUGACUGAGUGACGCAGCUAACGCAUUAAGUUAUCCGCCUGGGGAUACGGUCGCAAGNUUAAAACUCAAAGGAAUUGACGGCUGAGAGNGCGAGACGACGACGAGGAGAGG
rnacentral:rRNA from 1 species